UAUUACACACGCAUUUGUUGUGCGAUAAAUAUCAUCGAGGUAGAACGUUUCAGACUUUAGCGAGGAGUGAAACGUUUCAAUUGGGGAAUUAUCAGCGG
rfam:Lysinibacillus xylanilyticus strain DSM 23493 Scaffold1, whole genome shotgun sequence.